rnacentral:lncRNA from 1 species
AAAAAAAAAAAAAAAGCCAAACUUGUGCAAAGUCUAGAAGUUCUCUAUGACUUUCAGUAUGCACACAGUUGUCUUAGGUUUAAAGAGUAAUAGACGUUUCGUGAACUAUACCAUCUCCACUAUUAUCCCUUUGGAAUUUUUAAAUGUAAAUUAUUAGUUUAUAUCAUUUUAUAUCCACAUUUUUUCACAAAUUUGUCCUGCCUUAUGAAAUAUCUGUAAAAUAUUCUUAAAUGAAAAAAAAUGAUGUUCACUUAGAUUGAAAACUUUUCUCAGAUGGACCGAUAAUUGCAUUCAUCUUGUUUUUAUAAGAGAAGGUGCCUCAAGGAUUCCCUGUUGGAUUUGUUUAAAAGGACUUUUUAUCUUCUGUGAUAACCUUUGCCAUGUACCAGGAACUAGGAAAACAAGAAACUUGUUCUAAAGAGAUCUGCAAUGUGAUAAGUCCUCGCCGCAUCAGUCUCGUGCGUCAGCAUUUAUGUUUACACGCAUUGUUGUCUAAGAUACUUCAGCAAGUCAUGUUGUGCAGUUAGCAAACUUUGUAUGUCAUUUCCUCCUACAGGUGUCAUGAAGAGUUGACGUAAGACAGAUUUUACAUUUGCAUGUGAAUAUCACAUACAUACUUUGGUAGUCUUUGAUACAAACUCAUCUGCUCUUCUUUUUCAAGCAUUUUGAGACACAAAGUUGUAUGUAAAGGAAUAUAUUAAUUAGAUUUUUUUUAGUUAGAUUUACUUUAAAAAGUAAAUCCACUUUAAUGUGUACAAAUGAUAGCUGUGAAACUGUAGAGUUUUUCUCUGUCAGGCUUGGGAUUCACUAAGAACUCCAAAACUAGCCUGAAGGACCAGCCGGGCAAAACAUUUUUUAAAUAUUCAGAGGCCAAAAUAUGAGCAAACAAAUAAAAAAACUCUUAAAAGUCCUACCUCCUUAAACAGCCUUCAAGGCAAAGCCCCUGCGCACAGGCAUGGCUUUGGUCUUGGUCCCUGGUCUCUUGGAGCCCCCAUAGUACUAUUGAGGUUUACUCUUCACUGGCGUUGUUCUAGCCUUGGGGUUCCUAAUAUAUUUCAGAGUCUCUUGGUUUGGUGUGGUUUUAGUGAUGACCACACCUUCUCCUCACAGUAGAGAGGAAGGAGCCCUGUGCACUGUGGGUUUGAGGCCUGCAGAGAGCUCCCAGCAUUUUACUUGGGCCUAUGGAAUUGGAAGCAUUUCCUGGCCUGUAUCUUUCAGGUAGGAGCACACAACUCUAACCUGUUUUCUAAGCCAGUCCCCUUGUACAACAGAGCCCAGGAAGACAGUCUCAAAUGUGUGCUUCUCUGGAGCUCAAUUCUAUGCAGUUGUGCUAAUGUUUCAUUAAGUCACUGUGUAUUUUUAAGUACUAAAACAUUGAAAUUUGCUUUAUGGAAGAUGAAUAAAUUUUUUAAAUACUUGGAAUUUUAUUUCUUUGUAAACUUCUACAGAUCAGGACAGACAAUAAAAGCAGCUUAAAUAAAAUACUAAAAACAAAAAGACAAAACCCACACACCAGGAUGCUAUCUUUAAGUUUUUCUGGAUUUGUCUCUAUUUUAGCAUCCUUAGUAUAUGUCUUUGUUUAAGAAUUUUACUUCCUUUGUAACUUUAGGCUGCAGGAUCUUUUGGGCACAAGUAAUUUAUUGUGUGCAAAAGUGUAGUUUCUCUCUUCUUUUGACUCUUUCAAGUACUAAGGACUUUUAUUAGUAGCAUAUUCUUAUUGCACAGAUCUUAAAAUUCAUGUUGAUUUGCUGUUAAGAAGGUGGUGGUGCUGUGUUCCUGAUGAAAGACUGACAUAUCAGGAACAUAGCUGUUGUUAGUUUAAAUAAAUCAUUUAAGUCAUUUCUCAACCUAAAAAACUUCAUCCUGGUAUAAGUAUCAGGUAAGGAAAUGAAGGUUUUUAAAGUGAACUUCCUUGCAAUAUGCAUUCAGGUUUUAUUCUCUGGUACUGUAAAGAACCUGAGUGACUCUCAGUGGGUCAUGGAGCCAGUAUUCUUUAUCCUGACUGUUUGGAUAUUAAAAUUCCUUUAUGUUUUAUAUGACCUGUGGGGUCUUCUUGCAGUGAUUAUUGUGUGUGAGAUUUUUCCCCCGGCGCUGGCGUAUUCAUAUUAUAUUGUUAACACUCAGGUUCACCUUAUCCCAGAAGCCAUGGUCUGCAUGGGUUCCAGAGGAUCUGCACUCUGCAGACUUAGCCAACUGUGAAGUCAGAGUUUGGUCUUCCUGGUGUAAAGGAGACUCCCCGUCUAGAUUGUCCUUCUCUUGCUUUUCCCUGUGCUCAUCUUCCUUUUAGAUUUGUGCUAGAGGUCCCUUUCAUUGUCAGGGGACUAGAUUACAUCUACAGAAGGAGUAGACAGACUUAAUAAGGGCUAUCCAUGCUACUGAGAUGAUAGUUUAGUUAGACAAACAAAAUAUAUUCAUAGGAAAAUUUCAAAAGCAAAACUUUUUAAUGAGUGAUGAUUUCUAAAAACUAAUUUUUAUUGGUCUAGUGACCUGGUUUAGCAGGUAAGGUGAUUGUUGCCAAGCCUGAUGCCCUGAGUUUGAACAUACUAGGGAGAAGUAGAGAAUUAAUUCUCACAAGUUAUCCUCGUCCCUCCACAUGUGUACACCCUCCCACCAUGGCCACGUAUAUCAAUAAAUCUUUAAAACUGCC